UACGUAGGGUGCGAGCGUUAAUCGGAAUUACUGGGCGUAAAGCGUGCGCAGGCGGUUCGUUGUGUCGGCGGUGAAAGCCCCGGGCUCAACCUGGGAAUGGCCGUUGAAACUGGCGAACUGGAGUGUGGCAGAGGGGGGUGGAAUUCCGCGUGUAGCGGUGGAAUGCGUAGAGAUCCGGAAGAACACCGGUGGCGAAGGCGGCCUGCUGGGCAGUAGCUGACACUGAGGCGCGACGGCGUGGGGAGCAAACAGG
rnacentral:rRNA from 1 species